AGCAGCCGCCGCGGUAAUACGAAGGGGGCUAGCGUUGUUCGGAAUUACUGGGCGUAAAGCGCACGUAGGCGGACAUUUAAGUCAGGGGUGAAAUCCCGGGGCUCAACCCCGGAACUGCCUUUGAUACUGGGUGUCUAGAGUAUGGAAGAGGUGAGUGGAAUUCCGAGUGUAGAGGUGAAAUUCGUAGAUAUUCGGAGGAACACCAGUGGCGAAGGCGGCUCACUGGUCCAUUACUGACGCUGAGGUGCGAAAGCGUGGGGAGCAAACAGGAUUAGAUACCCGCGUAGUCCCUGUCUCUUAUAC
rnacentral:rRNA from 1 species